GCUACCACACACACUCUGCUGGCGGAAAACCCACCCCACCUGAAGGGAGCACUCGUUGCCCAUCCGGCAGGCUCAAACACUCCCGAGGCCCAACACAGGGAGCGCACAGCCAGCCCAGCUGCCUCUGCAGGCGGGGAUGGCGGCAGGCGGCCGCGCAGGCCUCGGCUGGCAGGCGGCCGUGCCCACGAGGCAGGCAAGGGCAGCCAGGCUGCAAUUACCGGCUGGAAGCCUUCAUGCCUGCCCAGGAACUGCAAAUUGCCUUCAAUUGGGGCCUGGCACAGGACAGCGCUACACCUGCGUCCAGCGGCUCCUGCCCGUUUUCAUUCCCCUGCCCGGGAAGGCCAGGAUCUGCCCCAGGGCCGGGGGACCAAACCAGCAGCCCCGAGCAGCCCGCCCGAUCCCAUCCCGGGGCCGUGGCUAUUCACAAGCGCUCAUGAAUAUUCACGAGCACUCAUGGAUAUUCACGUAAAUGGCUCUCCCACACCGCCGCACGUCACGCUGGGGAGUCACCCUAGACCGGAAGCGGCCUCGAGGCCGGCCUUGGGAACCCCGCGCGCCCUCCCCCAUCAGCACAGCUACUUCCGCCCUUCCUCCAGCCCGGGCUCCCCGCGCGCCGGCGCCUCAUACUUCCGAGACAGCCCCGGAAGGAGGAGAAAUGCAAGAGGAGGGAGAGUGAGAGGGAAACACAGCCUCUACCUCACCGUAUACUUGCAUAUGCUUUUAU
rnacentral:lncRNA from 1 species